rnacentral:rRNA from 1 species
UACGUAGGGGGCGAGCGUUGUCCGGAUUUACUGGGCGUAAAGCGCGUGUAGGCGGCUGCUUAAGUCGGGGUGUGAAAGCCCGGGGCUCAACCCCGGGAUGCCGCCCGAGACUGGGCGGCUUGAGGUCGGAAGAGGGGAGUGGAAUUCCAGGUGUAGCGGUGAAAUGCGUAGAGAUCUGGAGGAACACCCGUGGCGAAGGCGGCUCCCUGGUCCGAUUCUGACGCUGAGACGCGAAAGCGCGGGGAGCGA